rnacentral:lncRNA from 1 species
GGCUUAACAUAAUCGAUUAUCAUAAGUACAUAAUCGAUUAUCUUAGUCCAGAUUUUAGAGGCAUGUUUAAAAAUCAUUUUGAAUGAAGUAAAUAUGCAUGAUUUAAAAUCAUUUAGCAUUAAAUUAAAUAUGCAUGAUUUUGUAAAAAUUAAUUUUACGAGAGAAGCCAUGUCAUGAGUCAAGUUGUCGGAUCAAGAUCACAAU